rnacentral:rRNA from 1 species
UACGGAGGGGGCUAGCGUUGUUCGGAAUUAUUGGGCGUAAAGAGCUUGUAGGCGGUUUGUCGCGUCUGCUGUGAAAUUUCGGGGCUCAACCCCGAACUUGCAGUGGGUACGGGCAGACUAGAGUGUGGUAGGGGAGACUGGAAUUCCUGGUGUAGCGGUGAAAUGCGCAGAUAUCAGGAGGAACACCGAUGGCGAAGGCAGGUCUCUGGGCCACUACUGACGCUGAGAAGCGAAAGCAUGGGGAGCGAACAGG